GUUUUAGUAGUAUAAAUAUUACACUGGUCUUGUAAACCAGAAACGGAGCACAACUCCCUAAAACA
rnacentral:tRNA from 1 species